rnacentral:rRNA from 1 species
CGAGAACGGGUUAAAGCUUGCUUUAACUGUCAGCUAAGUGGCGCACGGGUGAGUAAUAUAUAGGUAACGUGCCUUCGAGAUGGGGAUAACGUUUGGAAACGAACGCUAAGACCCGAUAUGCCUUUAAGUCUUAAGACUGCAAGGGAAAUAUUUAUAGCUCGAAGAUCGGCCUGUACAGUAUCAGUUAGUUGGUGAGGUAAUGGCUCACCAAGACAAUGACGCUUAACUGGUUUGAGAGGAUGAUCAGUCACACUGGAACUGAGACACGGUCCAGACUCCUACGGGAGGCAGCAGUGGGGAAUAUUGCACAAUGGACGAAAGUCUGAUGCAGCAACGCCGCGUGGAGGAUGACACAUUUCGGUGCGUAAACUCCUUUUAUAUAGGAAGAUAAUGACGGUACUAUAUGAAUAAGCACCGGCUAACUCCGUGCCAGCAGCCGCGGUAAUACGGAGGGUGCAAGCGUUACUCGGAAUCACUGGGCGUAAAGAGAAUGUAGGCGGAUAAUUAAGUUUGAAGUGAAAUCCAAUGGCUCAACCAUUGAACUGCUUUGAAAACUGAUAAUCUAGAAUAUGGGAGAGGUAGAUGGAAUUUCUGGUGUAGGGGUAAAAUCCGUAGAGAUCAGAAGGAAUACCGAUUGCGAAGGCGAUCUACUGGAACAUUAUUGACGCUGAGAUUCGAAAGCGUGGGGAGCAAACAGGAUUAGAUACCCUGGUAGUCCACGCCCUAAACGAUGCACACUAGUUGUUGUGAGGCUAGACCUUGCAGUAAUGCAGUUAACACAUUAAGUGUGCCGCCUGGGGAGUACGGUCGCAAGAUUAAAACUCAAAGGAAUAGACGGGGACCCGCACAAGCGGUGGAGCAUGUGGUUUAAUUCGACGAUACGCGAAGAACCUUACCUGGACUUGACAUAGAUAGAAUAUAACAGAGAUGUAAUAGUGCUAGCUUGCUAGAACUAUCAUACAGGUGCUGCACGGCUGUCGUCAGCUC